GUCGGGGUAGCUCAUUGGUAGAGCGCGGGCCUGAAGUACCCGGUGAGCAGGUUCGAUUCCUGCCCUUGACG
rnacentral:tRNA from 1 species